UACGUAUGGGGCAAGCGUUAUCCGGAUUUACUGGGUGUAAAGGGAGCGUAGGCGGCGGGGCAAGCCUGGUGUGAAAGCCCGGGGCUCAACCCCGGGACUGCAUUGGGAACUGCCCUGCUGGAGUGCCGGAGGGGCAGGCGGAAUUCCUAGUGUAGCGGUGAAAUGCGUAGAUAUUAGGAGGAACACCAGUGGCGAAGGCGGCCUGCUGGACGGUGACUGACGCUGAGGCUCGAAAGCGUGGGGAGCAAACAGG
rnacentral:rRNA from 1 species